rnacentral:lncRNA from 10 species
AAAAUGUGGAAAGCAAGCCUAAGUCGCAGUGUGGCCUAUGCCUGAGAGCCAUCUUCAGUGCCCCCUUGUGGCUGUAUCUGGGAACCACAGACAGAAUCAUGGAACUGACCAUCUUCAGUCUCAAAGUGCUGCCCUCACCACUACACCCAGGGGCAGGUGGUCUUCGGGGGAAAGGCGGUUCCAGUUCCUUCUCCCAAGCCAGUGAGGAAGUCAAUCCUGCGAACAACUGCAGGAACGGCCUUGGGAGUGGAUCCUUCCUCAGCCCGGCUCCAAGACAACUGCAGCCCUGUGAGAAACCCUGAGUGGAGGACCAAGCCAAGCCUCAAAUCGUGACUUGGAACUGGGAGACAACAGAUGCUGUUGGAAGCCACUGAGCUCUGAAGUAGUUUGUUACACAGUGACAGGUAACUUACACACCAUGGCAGGGUCAUGUGGGCCAAAGGUGCAAGGGGCUA